CCGCCCCCUAUGUAUCAUGAAAAAAUGCCGCCCCGGGCGACUGCCCGGUUCGCCCGUGCCAAAAACCGCUACUGGAUGCUCAGAAUACAGACUA